GUCUUGUCAGUGAUGUUCUCAAACACAAAUGUCUGAACAAAUGAUUUUCUGUGAUUCACACGUUGUAACUGAGACAAGAC